CUAUGGAAUGUCACUGAUGCUGAGGCACGAGAGCUGGCGGAGCGUACAGUCUUAUAUACCCUGGUAGUCCCAGCUGUUAAGGGUCAGCAUCUGGUGUGGGGAUUGCACCGUCCCCGUGCCGUAGCUAACGAUUUAAGUGCGUCGCCUGGGGAGUACGAAUUCAAGUCUAAUACUCAAAGAAAUUGACGGGGGCCCGCACAAGCGGAUGAGCAUGUGGGUUAAUUGGAUGCAACGCGAAGAACCUUAUCAGGGCUUGACAUGCAGAUGCACGUCCGUUGAAAGGCGGAAAGCUUUCGAAGGCGCUGCACAGGUGGUGCAUGGCUGUCGUCAGUUCGUGCCUUGAGGUGUUUGGUUAAGUCCAGCAACGAACGCAACCCCUGUGUUUAGUUGCCACCGUGGGUGAUGAGCCUGCGAGCACUGUAGACAGAUUGCCCCUACAAGCGGGAGGAAGGUGGGGAGGAUGUCAAGUCAGUAUGUCCCUUAUGUCAUGGGCUGCACACGUGAUACAAUUGUCGGUCCAAUGGGAAGUGAAGCCGCGAGGAGAAGCAAAUCCCCAAAGCCGGCCCCUGUUCGGAUGGGAGUUUGCAAUUCGACUCCAUGAAGUUGGAUUGGGUAGUAACGGUGUAUCAGCUAGGAUGCCGUGAAUACGUUCCCGGGCCUUGUACACACCCCCCGUCACAUCAUGAAAGCCGUAUGCACCCGAAGUCCCCGA
rnacentral:rRNA from 1 species